AUUGAACGCUGGCGGCAGGCCCAACACAUGCAAGUCGAGCGGAGCGGCGGACGGGUGCGUAAUACCUAGGAAUCUGCCUGGUAGUGGGGGAUACCGUUCGGAAACGGACGCUAAUACCUCAUACUAUAAGAUGAGCCCAGGUCGGAUUAGCUAGUUGGUGAGGUAAUGGCUCACUAACGCUACGAUCCGUAACUGGUCUGAGAGGAUGAUCAGUCACACGGGAACUGAGACACGGUCCAGACACCUACGGGAGGCAGAAGGGGGGAAUAAUGGACAAUGGGCGGAAGCCUGAUGCAGCGACGCAGGGUGGGGGAUGAAAGCGUUCGGGUUGUAAACUCCUUUCAACAGGGAAGCGGUACCUGUAUAAGAAGCACCGGCUAACUACGUGCCAGCAGCCGGGGUAAUAC
rnacentral:rRNA from 1 species